CGUAGGAGGCAAACGUUAUCCGGAUUUACUGGGCGUAAAGCGCGUGUAGGUGGUUCUGUAAGUAGGGCGUGAAAGCUCCUGGCUCAACUGGGAGAGGCCGUUCUAAACUACAGAGCUAGAGGAUGGUAGAGGGAGGUGGAAUUCCGGGUGUAGCGGUGGAAUGCGCAGAUAUCUGGAGGAACACCAGUGGCGAAGGCGGCCUCCUGGACCAUUCCUGACACUCAGACGCGAAAGCUAGGGUAGCAAACGGGAUUAGAUACCCGCGUAGUCCCU
rnacentral:rRNA from 1 species